rnacentral:rRNA from 1 species
CCUAGGGGAGGCAGCAGUGGGGAAUAUUGGACAAUGGGCGAAAGCCUGAUCCAGCCAUGCCGCGUGUGUGAAGAAGGCCUUCGGGUUGUAAAGCACUUUCAGUGGGGAAGAAAGCCUUGGGGCUAAUACCCUCGAGGAAGGACAUCACCCACAGAAGAAGCACCGGCUAACUCCGUGCCAGCAGCCGCGGUAAUACGGAGGGUGCGAGCGUUAAUCGGAAUUACUGGGCGUAAAGCGCGCGUAGGCGGUCUGAUAAGCCGGUUGUGAAAGCCCCGGGCUCAACCUGGGAACGGCAUCCGGAACUGUCAGGCUAGAGUGCAGGAGAGGAAGGUAGAAUUCCCGGUGUAGCGGUGAAAUGCGUAGAGAUCGGGAGGAAUACCAGUGGCGAAGGCGGCCUUCUGGACUGACACUGACGCUGAGGUGCGAAAGCGUGGGUAGCAAACAGGAUUAGAUACCCGUGUAGUC